GACGUAGGGCGCGAGCGUUGUCCGGAUUUAUUGGGCGUAAAGAGCUCGUAGGCGGCUUGUCGCGUCGUCCGUGAAAACCUGCGGCUCAACUGCAGGCUGGCGGUCGAUACGGGCAGGCUGGAGUUCGGUAGGGGAGACUGGAAUUCCUGGUGUAGCGGUGAAAUGCGCAGAGAUCCGGAGGAACACCGAUGGCGAAGGCAGGUCUCUGGGCCACUACUGACGCUGAGAAGCGAAAGCAUGGGGAGCGAACAGG
rnacentral:rRNA from 1 species